UGCAACCUUCUUAAACGCUCAUUAUCUGUGCAACACAAACAAUCAAACUCAAUGCUUCUUCCGACCUCAACAAGCAAUGGAAAUUACGUAUUACGCAAUUUUGCACUAAGACGAAAGAAAAUACUGAAGCUAUACUGGAGAAGAAUGCUGAAAUUUCAGUGAAACCUCUCUUGAGAUCUGCUAUAUGCAACUCAGGAGCUUCACGCUGCUUGGGUCAGAGCUGCAGUCCAUUCUUAGAGCCUGUUCGCAACCUCUCCAAUCUCAAAACUCCGCUCCGAGCUGUAGAGGAGACGAGGACCUCGGUUUGAGCCACUCCCUGAUUUGUGCUGCCCCUCCCUCCGCUCUGGGAGCCGUAGUUGUGGAGCGGAGAGAACCCGAACAGGUCCUUAAAGCCUGGGCAUGCAUUAGUGCAUCUUUAUACCCAUGUUCAAAACAACGAAAUAGUAAACCAUAGAAGAUCAACACAGCGCAGGAAAUAAAUACUUAGACAUAUAUCAUCUUCCUUAGACAAUAAAAACUGGUAGAUUAGAUGUCAAGUAGCAACACUCGAGUUCUGGAAGGAGUAGAAAUUAAAAACAUCACUCUCUCCUGCCCCCACAGACUAUCCUACAUGUAUUUUGGUUCACAUAGGAACUGAAAUAAAUGUCCACGGUCCAGCAAGUAAUAAUUUGCAGAGGGUUCGACAUGUUGAGCAUUGGAGUUGAACUACUGUGGAAAUUUCCCCGCACAACAUCUCUUCACUGUAAAUAGGAGAGACAAUCUUCAACAUAACCAAUUGUCUACAACGUUCUGCACCGCAGGAUCGGCCAAAUAUGCAAUCCAACUGGAAGGGAAGCUGCUGUAAAUACAACACUAACUCCAUGGAUGCUAACUGCUCUAGAUUCCACCAAUGUCGUCAAAGAUCACUAUCUAUUCGACGCUCUGCAUCUCAUACGCAUUUCAUUUGACACCUGAGCUUGUGGAAGUUCAGCAGGAGUGACUCACGUCUACGCAUAUAUUGGCAUCUAUACAGCAGCGACAGUAGCACGAGCUAGCAACAAGCACAAAAUAAAGUAGCAAGAUAGCAGCAAUACGAGGAGAAGCUCAACAAAUGGCUUGGCUUUACAGCCUACAGGUACACUGGGAUUUAUUUCUCGCUAUACAAAACUGCCAGCAUUAAUCUUCAGAAACUCUAUAUUGUAAUAAAUUCAAUGACAAGGAGAGAGAGUCAGGAGCAGAGGGGGAAGAAGAUCACCUUGGCAUCAACCAUUGCUCGAUGCAGGUGGCCUCAGCAUGGUGAGGAAACCGGCACCAGGAAUCUCGUCCAGACCGCUCUACCGCCUCCCGUGUCAACGCAGAACAAUAGAUCGAAAUCGCCGCCGCCUUCUCCUCCCACCUGCUCACCGUGCCGCCCUGGCGUGCAUCUGAGGCACGGGAGCGCUGUUAGGAAGCAGAGCAGCACGAGAGAGCACGACAGAAGACAAAGACGACCGGACCAAGGCGCCGGAGCAUCGCCGGCGAUGAGGAAGUCGACCGCACCGAAACCCUAGACGGGUAAAUCCGAUGCGGGCAACCACAUGAGGAUGGGAUCGAUGAAUCGAUGCGGUGGAUCAUAUAGAGCGCGAGGAGAGGAAGAGAUUGGUAGCCACCGACGGCGGAGACCGCCAGCGUUCGCCGGAACCGGCCGACGAAGGCGGCGGCGAAAAAAGGGAACGGGAGAGAGAGAAGUGAGAGAGAUGGACGGCAUCGGGGUGGAG
rnacentral:lncRNA from 1 species